rnacentral:rRNA from 1 species
GCUAAACGCGAAGAACCUUACCCAGGCUUGACAUAUAGAGGACGGCAUUAGAGAUAGUGCUUCCGCAAGGUCUCUAUACAGGUGCUGCAUGGCUGUCGUCAGCUCGUGCCGUGAGGUGUUGGGUUAAGUCCCGCAACGAGCGCAACCCUCGUCGCUAGUUACCAACAUGUAAUGAUGGGGACUCUAGCGAGACUGCCUAGGUUAACUAGGAGGAAGGUGAGGAUGACGUCAAGUCCGCAUGGCCUUUAUGUCUGGGGCUACACACGUGCUACAAUGGUCGGUACAGAAGGCAGCGAAGCCGAAAGGUGGAGCAAAUCCUCAAAGCCGAUCCCAGUUCGAAUAGAAGUCUGCAACUCGACUUCUUGAAGUUGGAAUUGCUAGUAAUGACGUGUCAGCAAUAACGUCGUGAAUACGUUCCCGGGUCUUGUACACACCG